GGAAGAUUUUGAUCGCAUUCAGUGCUAGUUCAAUUACAGUACAGCUAUAGCCGUGGUAGCUCUAUGGUUACGGUGCCUGCUUCUCAAGCAUGAGGGGAAAGAAAACAUUGAUGAUCAUUGCUUCUCCGUGUAAGACCUUUUCUCAGCCGUGGAUCAGUUACAAGCAGCUGAUGAUUAUGGUGGUCAAAUUAGGGGAAGUCAGCUCAAAGCGGCCAUAGGAGGCAAAGCGGCCACUCUUAAUUUUUCGGUUAUUUGAAAUGAUAGCGCAACGUAGCCUUUCUGUACGUAUAAACAAACCUCUCGCCCCGCAACAAUCACUCAUUUUCAAGCGGUGAGAACAAACGCGUGGUUCUAGUAACGACAAAUAUGUUUUUGUGCGUUUUGUUAAAAUAAUACGAGGAAGAAGACGUCUUAGAGUACUUGUUUCAUAUGGACAACCUCUUUAUUGGCCUCACAAAGGAAGAUUUUUUGCAGCUUGUGUUUCAAUAUGCUGAAUCAAACCAUAUUCCACAUCCUUUUAAAAAUGAAACGGCUGGACACGAUUUUUAUAAAGGCUUCAUCAUGCGUCAUCCUAAUUUGACCUUGCGACAACCAGAACCCACAUCCAUAGCCAGAGCUCGAGGCUUCAACAAAUCCCAAGUAUAUCGAUUUUUAUAAAUUACUUUUAUGACUGACUGUAAAAAUAGGUAAAAUGUUGUUGAUUUUUUUUUAUGUGAAUUAUAUGUGUCGAUUUUUGA